UACGGAGGGUGCAAGCGUUAAUCGGAAUUACUGGGCGUAAAGCGUGCGCAGGCGGUUUGUUAAGUCCGUUGUGAAAGCCCCGAGCUCAACUUGGGAAUUGCAGUGGAUACUGGCAGGCUGGAGUACGGUAGAGGAAGGUGGAAUUCCGGGUGUAGCGGUGGAAUGCGUAGAGAUCCGGAAGAACACCAGUGGCGAAGGCGGCCCGCUGGGCAGUGGCUGACGCUGAGGCGCGACAGCGUGGGGAGCAAACAGG
rnacentral:rRNA from 1 species